CCGCCCAAUAUCAGUCGGAA
rnacentral:snRNA from 1 species